rnacentral:rRNA from 1 species
UACGAAGGGGGCUAGCGUUGUUCGGAAUCACUGGGCGGAAAGCGCACGUAGGCGGAUGUGCCAGUCAGGGGUGAAAUCCCGGAGCUCAACUUCGGAACUGCCUCUGAUACAGCACGUCUUGAGUCCGGAAGAGGUGGGUGGAAUUCCUAGUGUAGAGGUGAAAUUCGUAGAUAUUAGGAAGAACACCGGUGGCGAAGGCGGCCCACUGGUCCGGUACUGACGCUGAGGUGCGAAAGCGUGGGGAGCAAACAGG